GGACAUGUCCCGACACACCUAUUUCCAGAUCAGGAAGGUCAAACAGAGUCAGGGUGCUGCUACUGUGCGUUCCGGGUCACUGGAGAGGCACACUGAUUUAUUUUUUAGAAUACAUUUGGACACAGAGCAAUAUGGAUUUUGUCCUCCAUUUCUUACAUUGGAAUUGCAUCUGUAAAGGAACCUUUCCCUACCAGCAGGUACCCAAAGUGAGGGAGGCAUGGGAGGAUGGGGACAGAGUGUAUGUCCAAUGAACGAAGACGCCGUGGUGGUGACUCAUUAAAGUUCAUACUCAACCACAAUGUCUGCCUUCCAUCUCCUCCACACAUGCCUCCAUUAUGACUGUCACUCUAUAUCAGCUACUGUCUCUGCCUCUCUGCCUCCACCUUUUUGUUAUCCUUGUCCCUCGCUACCUCUCUCUCAGCCUUCCUACCUGACCUCCCCAACAAGCAUAGACUCUGCUCACAUUUUCAACCCACACUGCAAUCUCAGUAAUGCCUUUCUCUCAGCACAUCAGCCCAGCAGGGCUACUUUCAGUAGGUCAGGGAGCCUUUCUCAAAAGGACUUCAAAAGGUGGUGGGGUGGGGGUGAGGCUUGAUCAAUGAUGCAAAAUGAAUGUUACAGAACAAGUGAAGCCCUUCAGAUGUCAGCACUUGCUGCUUCACUACAAGUGUGAAAUGUUUUAAUCAUAGUCAAGAUCACAGCAUGAUGAUACAA